rnacentral:tRNA from 1 species
ACGUCGUUAGUAAAACAUUACAUAACCAUGUCAAGGUUAAAUUAUAGGAUACAACCUUUACGACUUA